rnacentral:rRNA from 1 species
CCUACGGGAGGCAGCAGUGGGGAAUAUUGGACAAUGGGCGAAAGCCUGAUCCAGCCAUGCCGCGUGUGUGAAGAAGGCCUUCGGGUUGUAAAGCACUUUCAGUGGGGAAGAAAGCCUUGGGGCUAAUACCCUCGAGGAAGGACAUUACCCACAGAAGAAGCACCGGCUAACUCCGUGCCAGCAGCCGCGGUAAUACGGAGGGUGCGAGCGUUAAUCGGAAUUACUGGGCGUAAAGCGCGCGUAGGCGGUCUGAUAAGCCGGUUGUGAAAGCCCCGGGCUCAACCUGGGAACGGCCUCCGGAACUGUCAGGCUAGAGUGCAGGAGAGGAAGGUAGAAUUCCCGGUGUAGCGGUGAAAUGCGUAGAGAUCUGGAGGAAUACCAGUGGCGAAGGCGGCCUUCUGGACUGACACUGACGCUGAGGUGCGAAAGCGUGGGUAGCAAACAGGAUUAGAUACCCCGGUAGUC